rnacentral:rRNA from 1 species
UGACUCUAGUCCGACUUUGUGAAAAGACAUGAGGGGUGUAGCAUAGGUGGGAGAUUCGUCGACCUUGAAAUACCACUACUCUCAUCGUUUUUUUACUUAUUUAAUGAAGCGGAGGCGGGCCGCAAGGCCCAAUUUCUGGAUUUAAGCUCCUUCGGGAGUGAUCCGAGUUAAAGACAUUGUCAGGUGGGGAGUUUGGCUGGGGAGGCACAUCUGUUAAAAGAUAAC